UCUAUAGUAAGCAUGACAAUGAUAUGUUUAUCCACUUUUCUACCUAAGGUGAGACUGGAAGGCAUUAUAUCUUCAUUGGUAGUUUGAUGAGAAUGAUCUUGGUCAACUUCCUUUCUUGCUUGGCCUUGAGUAGGCCUGUAUUUGAAGGACAUUUUGUGGAUGGAAGUCAUAAAUAUGAGAAUGUCCUGUUGAAGAUCACCAAUACAAACUACUCGGGGUUUAAAUGAAAACUCUAUCAAAGUUACAAGAGAUUUAAGGUUGAGAAUACAUCAAGACAUAGUCAGAUUUGGCAUCAAUUAUAUCCUAAUUUCUUAAUAUUCUUAAGAAUCAGACUGAUGGCUCAGUUGGCCUUUUUAUGAGAGAUGCCUAAAAUUAUGAUUUUUGCCAUCGAGAAAGGACCUAAGGACAAAGUUGGAUUUUGUGUUUUUUUGGUAAUUAAAUGAAAUUUUGGAUUAUUGGAUUAUUGGUUGUUAUCAAUGGUUAGAAUUGAUGCUUUGUUUAGUUUAUAAAGUUCCUUGUUGACUGCAGAAACAAUCUUACAUUGGCCUUUUGUUGUAGAGAUGAUUGCUGAGAGUUAAGUAUUUAGUGAAGUUUUGAGUGUUCUGGACUGGAACUUUUCCAUGUUUGUUUUCUUCUGUCCUCAUUCCUUCUCUUAUUCUUUUCCACCUUAAUUUCCUUGAAGAGCUGUCUCCUGUUCAUGUUGAAUUUGCUUAGGGAUAUCUGCUUUCUUGUCAGUAAUCCUUUGAGAUCACUGCUUGUGCUCACUUGACAGACGAAAGUUUAUAAGACUGCAUGAUUAGGAGUGCCUUCUAGCUUGUUGAAGCGCUGGGUAUUUAGAAUUAUGUUGUUCAUUUUCCAUUCUAGUUUUUUGUUACAAAAAGGGAUGAUCAUUACUCUAUAUGGUCGUUUGCAUCUUCUGUUUUUCAGUAGCACCAUUGUUGAAGUCCUUUUGUCUCAUCCUUCACUACAUCUCCAUGCCUAGUCAUAUGUUGAUUGUGUUAGGGAUGUGAUUGAUUGUGUUACUGCAUCUUCUUAGAGACUUUUAUCUUCUAUACAGUACAGAAGCAAGCUUUGAGUGGAUGCUUGAGAUAUGGAUAGAGUGUUGCACUACAGUUGAAUCCUCUUUAGAGAUGUCUACUGCUGGGUGAAGUGAGCAUACCUAUGACUUUCUUGCAAGUUAUGCAGUUGCUGCCUCAAGCUUGCUGCCUCCCUUUGCCAGAACUAGUGAGUACAGUGGAUAAAGUUUAGCCUAUGCAACAGAUUCUUUUAAAAUACUAUAUUACUGCUAUGGAGUGAUUAUGUAUUACAGUAACCAGGUUCAAUAAAGAAACAUUCUGUUAGAUCACUUAUAAUCUGAAGUUUGUUCCUCCAGUUUUUCAUCAAAUCUAUUACAAAUCCAGUUUCAAAGCAUCAAGGUUAAAUACUUCUGAACCUCUACUAGAUGACUUACUGCUGAUGUAAACUACAAUUUCUCAACUAUAACUUUUUGAAUCCUUAUUGUUAUGCAUGCAUGCUGUAGUGAUCUUUGAAUGCUCCUGUUUAAAUAGUUGAUGAGCUAUUCUGAUACUUUUGGUGCUUUGCCUAACAUCUGUUGCAUAACCACCCACCCAGUCCCCAACAAAAAAAGAAAAAAAGAAAAAGAAAAAUCAACACACAAAAGAAAAAAGGAAAAUAAUAUAUUUGAUAAGGAGACUGUUGACAGGAAGAGGGGAGGAGGAUAAGAUUUGCAUUUAAAUUAUUUGUAUGAUUUAUUCAUGUUGCGUGACUAAUAAAUGGUGUAAUUUCCGCAUCAUUAUUAUGGAAUGUAGAGGCAACAUUCAAAAGCUUCGGUAUCUGGUUUUACGUUUGUUGAAUAUUUAAACAUUACAUGAUUUCUGAUUAUAGAUUCAACAUUUUGAUUGCACUGCAUUAAUCUUUCUAAACAAUCUAAAUUUUCUUAAUUACAUCACAGAAAGAAGUCUCAGGAUCAAGUUCUUCAAAAAGUGGAUCCUAAGCUUGUACUCAGCACCACAUGACAGCAGGUUCUGUAAUACUUUUCUUUAUUAAUGGGCUCAAACCAUAGUAUGUUGUACCGUAUUGAACCAAACGAUACCGGAUGCACCGUACCGUACCAAUUCGGUACCCGUACCGGUACUAGUGGCGUACCGACAUUCGGUAUGCCAAAUAAACUGUAUACCAUACCGUACCGACGCUAUAUUAGUGUGGCAUCGAUACGGGGUCCGGUACCGAGACGGCGAACUUGGCUCAAACACAACUAUCCCUAAAGAUAUGCAAAAAGUUAUUAGCAAGCAAAAGAGAUACAAGCAAGCACGAGAAAUAGCAAUAAAAUAUUUAUUUUACAUGGCUACCUCCAAAUUAUGCAUCUAAAUCAAAAACAUAUUAAAUUUCUUCACUAGAAAUGCCAUGACCAUUUAUAAUGGGAAGGCAAUUCCUUUCUCUUGGAUGGAAGCAUCCUGCACCUCCUAGGAAAUUGCUACUCCACGUGAAAGCUGCAUUUGGUUGUGGUUUGUGGAAUAAGUCAACCUAGAUGAAAUUGGUUUAGUUGGUCCUGACCCUCGUUCUUCCAAAAUAAAAUACUCCACACUAUAAUGUGCAAUAUUUUUCUUUGCUUAGGUGGGAAAAUGGCUUUACAAACUUUUUAAAAAUACUUGUUUUGAUUUCCAAAUAAAUGGUCAUUUUUUUACCAUUUGACAAGUUAAAAUGGAACAAAUGGGCUAAUGGGACCUUUGUUCCAUUUACUCUUCUUUAACCCGCAACCUGUUGUAGACUAAGAGAACCAUAUGAGAACCUAACUCAAGAGAAACCUCAAGAUGGACAUGAAGUUGCAAUGCAUAGUUUGUUAACCUUGACAAAAAACAAUGAGAGAAUGCCUUCAUCUAACCUCCCAUAACCAUUUCUUCAUUUCCCACGUCAUUUGCUUUGUAAUCUUACCUCCGCUUAUCUCACAAUCCUAAAUCUACAUUCUUUUAUUUCUCUCAUUUUGAUCAGUCAUUCCUAUGUCGUGAAACAUAUUCCAUAGUGGGAGUUACUCAUUGGCACCAUUAAUUGGAUCAAGUACUCCAUAUGCAAAGAUUAGUUUGCCAAAGGUAUUUUACACCACAGGUUCUAAUUAAUAUAGAUCAAAGGGAACAUAUGCCACAUGGCUUUUCCAUAAUAUACAGAAAUACCACAGAUGCUUUUUUCAGGGCAGAUGUAUGGACAAAAUGCAACCAGCAAAUCAACAUGGAGAAGUGUAGGAUGACUUAUUGAAAGAGGGAGAGGCACGAUGCCUUCAUGUUGACAUGCUGUAACUACAUUCUUCCUUGGACAAGAAGCAGGUAUGAUCGAAAAAUAAAGAUAGCUUGGAUUCCAUUGACUAUCAUCAUAAUUCAUAAGACCUUCAUGAGGUGGAAGAUCACAUGGAUGACGAAGACAAUGAUUGGGACUUCUAAGGCCAUCAGAGGACUUCUAUCAAGGAGGAGAGAGGUGUCAAGCAGCUGACUCAAGUCUAGCAAAUUCAACUGCAAAAUGUUGUCAAUUUAAUUUACAAAAUUUGGAUUUAUUGCCAUUUCUUGUGGUCUCCAUGUUUACGAGUUCAUGAGAUGCAAGUCAAAUACCCGGGAUGAAUUUUUAAAGAUCGUUUUAUUGCCUUUUAGAAUGGGUGUCUCUAAUUCCCAAGUUCUUCUUCAAGUUACUAACCAAGUCCUCAAUUCAGCUUAAGCAUAAUUUCUUAGUCUCCUGAACAUGUGUAGGAUGGAAUAACUGGUUUGUUCUAACAGGGACCAAGUCAAAUCAAUGAUAUUGCAUUAAUGUAUUUGUUCAAUUUUUGUGACAUUCUCUGCACAUUAAUUCUAUAGUGUGGGAAAUCAAGGUUCUUUAUUGAAAUGAAACAAUUUCUUUCAUA